CUCACUAGGAAACCUGUUCCAGUGUUUCACAAGUGUACAACCAUCUCUCUCUCUUCAAAUGGAAUUGUAGAGGAAAUAAAAAAAUAAAAAUACUAUUAAAAAUUUGUCAUCUUGGAUUUGCAAUUUCCUGUGUCAGGUGUUUUAGUGUUCUAGGGUGGAAGAUUCUCCAGCCCUUACAAAAGUGAAGCAAGCAUGCUUAGGUUUCUUUCCAUCUCAGAGGUGGCAUUUUCUGUUUUCCAUUCCCUUAAUUUCUAUACGUAACAGCAGUGUUCAUUUUAGAACCAAAUUGCAUUUAAGCUUCUAGUUUGUCUGUAAAAUCACACAGACUAUAUUUCUUCCUAUUUUAAGUAAGGGCAGACAUUAUUUCCUGAUGGAUAAAAAAUGAAAUAUAUACUUUAUCACCCUGACUGAUAAUAACUGUGGAAUAAUCUAUGCUAGACUUGGUGAUAUUUCCUAUGGAAUAUGGUAGUAAACAUAAUAUAUAUAUAUUAUUUUUCUUAUUGGUCCUUUUGGAGAAACUGAGGGACUCAACAUAAUGUUGUUUAACUUUUGCUCAAGAGCGUAUUCAAGUUUUUGCCACUGAUUCACUGCUGUUAGUGUGAACAUUAAAGGGUGAUUACUUUUAUGUAUUUAUAGAUAGGAAAGUAAAAACCUUAAAGAAAGCUGACGCCAUUCAUUUGGGAAGUAGCAGAAUUGUUUCUCAUUCAUUUACCUUCUCAUUGUGAACUGUAUUCAGACCUUUCCUGAUGAAUGUUUUGUCUGUUCCUCUCUGGUGUAAGAUUUACCGAUGAUACAUAGUUGAUGGACAUGAUUCUGGAUCAAAAGAUCCACAUAAUUCCUUUGGCCAGAUUCUGCAAUGGUCUUUGAGUAUCAUCUCUUGGAUUUUGAUGGGACUAAGUAUUCAGUGAGAGCACAGAGCUGUUGUGUUCGGGGCUAUCUGUAUUGCUAAACAGGCUAUCACUUCUGCCAGUGCUAGACAGAAUUUUUCAGAAUGUGUGUUUUCACUUCCAGAUAUGAAUUACAGUUAUCAGCUUAGCUCUGCUAUGCAAAGCUUUCCCCUUUGCUGCGUAAUUUUAACUUUCACCACAGCUGUUAAGACCCUCUGUGAUAAUAAAUAUAUAUGGCUCUGUUAUAAUGGAGGAAAGGCUGCUUUCACUGAGCCACCUUUUGCAAGUUAGCUUUUUCUUUUUUUUCUUUAAUUUGGUAAUCUGCUCCUUUUGCUGUGAUAGUGUUGGACUCUUAUAGAACUUCUCUGUGUUAACGUGCUCUAUGUGGCCUGUGGUGAGUGUCAUACUCAUGUGCAAAAGCAGCUGUCAUAAGAGCCAAGAAUACACGUGAAUCUUAUGUGGAUGUAACUUUCCUGGCUGACUUCUCAAUGUGCCUUGGAACUCCCAUCAUUUCUGAAAAGGCCUCUCCUUUGAUACUGAUUACACUCAUGUAAAUAAGGUUAAUGACUCAGUUUCAGUGGUAAUUUUUCAAUACGUACAUACUUACAUUAAGCACACAAAUGACUGCAGCCCAAUCCAGCUUUAUUUAACAUUUAGGGACUGAAAUGUGUUUUACUGUCACUUUCUCUUUGCCUAAUGCAGUAAUUGUUCAAUUAAGUCAUUUUUAAAAUAUGCAAUGACCACAUUUGAGUUCAAAUAUCAGUUUUGUCAGACUUCAAAUCCCUAACAAAGGGAAGCAACAUACUCUCUGUGGGUGGGAAGCUAGUACCUAAAGUAGUUCUGCGAGUUCAAGGAAUUGAGCAAGGUGAAAGCACGUAAUUCUCAAAGUGCUCUGAUAUGGGAAUUUCUGAGGAAGACUGCUUCUGUGAGGAAGCUACUUCUUGACUUGCUGCGAGUACAAGGUCAUGUAUUUCCUAAUUUUUUUUCCUACAUAUACAUAUAAAUAGCUUGAGAAAUUAUACAUUUUACUUCUGUGAUAUUUGUCUAUUGAUUCCUAUAUCUCUCCUGUAAAGUUAAUUAAUGUGUUGAAGAGAAUCUCAUGUUUUUGAGGGAUAUACUUGCGAAGCAGGCUAAUGACCUCUUACCCAUUUGCCAUCAUCCAAAAGCUUUUAUCUAUGGAGAGGAAUCUACAAAUUUAUCUAGGAGCAACGCAGCGUAUUUGAUGAUACUGUUUCAAGUUUUGAGUCAUAAGGGCAUCACUGAACCAGACUUUCUGUUUUCUUUUUCUUUACAACUACAAUAACUAGAAAUUAUUGUUAUUUUAUGAUUCUUCAGAUUCUUACACAAUCACCUGACUCAUUGGAUUCUGUGAGCUGAUGCUUGAAGAUAAAGUUAUUGUGACAGCUAGAAUAAAAAUACAGCACCGUGUAUCAGUAGGUUGAGAGAAAAGAUUUAAAACUUAUUCCUAAUAAGAUGUUAAAGGUAGAUGUACAGCUAUUGUCCUCAGCAAAGAAAAAUGACAUUCCAGUUGUAGUGCUUUUAGAUUGUUAUCUUCUUUUAAUCUAUUUUGGCUUAUAACUUUUCUUUGGCCGUCAGAUGAGAAUUAAAUAAAAGAGAAAUUACUUUAAAAUGUUUAAGGCUUUCUUUGGUGUGUGUGUGUGUUUCUGUAGCAUGAUUGCAUUUUCGAAGGGCUGUGUACAGCCCUGCAUAGUGACUUUAGAGUCCUUGACACUGGGCUUGCUCCCUACCCUUGCUUUGCUGGGCCUCUAGCACCUUCCCCUUGCAAUCCCAUGAACACAAUUCCUGUCCCUCUGAGGCCUUGAAGUGAUGAAUUCUCCUCCUGUUGCUUGACUAUUCUCUUUCCUUUUUUCUGUAAUUUAGAGGUGCCAGAGGCCUGUGUUUAGAGGACUUAGAAGGUCUAUGUUAUUUCUAACAUCAGUGAGCUUAAUGGACAAAGAGUGCAUCAGGAUCAAAUUUCCCACAACUGAGAGCAGGUUAGUCGGGUCCAGGCACUGCUCUGAUGGUGCCACAAGCAAACCUGUGCUCCCAUGAGACUGAGCCUUCUUGGCAUGGUGAUAAAUUCAUGGGGUAUCCUGUUACAGAAAGGCACAUCACAAAGAGAGGAAAGGUACCUGCAGAGGAAAAGUUUACAGGGGACAGUGGAGGUAGCAGCGUUACAUGCCAGCCUGAGGAGGUGCUCAGUAAUGUCCAUAAUGAAAUGGCCUUAAGUUGCCAUUUCCAAGUUUAGGUUGGAUAUCAGGAAAAACUUCUGUACAGAAAGGGUUGUUAAGCACUGGAAUAGGCUCCUCAGGGAGGUGGUUGAGUCACCAUCCCUGGAUGUGUUUAAAAACCAUUUGGAUGUGGUGCUCAGGGACAUGAUUUAGUGGAAGGUUGUUAGAAUUAGGGUAGUAUGGUUAGGUUGCAAUUGGACUUGAUGAUCUUUAAGGUCUUUUCCAACCUGAGCAAUUCUAUAAUUCUAUGAAUUUAGACUAUAAGUUGCUCCUUAACAUGAAAGUUGUUGAAUUCCCUGAAAGAAUAGUGAAGGGAGGGGGUGGGGUGGGGAUUUCAGAGUUCAGAGUAUGCUUGGAGUUUCCUCAUUUCUAGUGCGCUGGAAUGGCAAGGAAAACCUGCAUUUCACCUCCAAACAUGUAUUAAAAUUAUCCUGGUUUGUAGAAAAGAGUCCAGAAUUGAUAAGGUUCAUUUAUCUAGAAACAAAAAGCCUGUUUGCCUUUUUUUUUUUUUUUUUUUUUUUUGAGUCUAGAUACAUUUUCCCUGUCUUGCGUGUUUCUAUUUUAGAAGCUACAGGUCACCACCAGAAAUUAUUCUUCACUAGUUCAGUGGUGCUUGUAAGAAACAACUUAACUGUUGAGUGUCCUCUCUUAUAACUGUUUUAUCUCUGAUAUAGAGCAGCUCCCGUAGGAGAUGCCUUUGGACCUUAUUUCUUGUUUAUGUCCAUUUUGAGUACUGAUUUUGCAUCACAGUUUAACUACAUAAAAAUGAGAAUGUCUGUGACCACAUAAACAUCAUUUGGCAACCUUCAUCUAACUCCACAGAUUAUAAAUAUCUAAUGAAGAGGUAUAUAUUUUAUAAAAAUUCCAGAUGCUGCUAAUUUUUCUCUGCUCUUGCUUAUACCACAUUAACAAAAAAUUGUCUCCUGUGUUUGCAAAAUGAUUACUUAUCGUGGCACUUCAGUUUAUUUUUUCUGAGAUAUGUCAUCUGUUGUAUACUAAUCUGCUUUCAUCAAAGUUAAGGAUGCUAUGCAUAUCUAUGCAAAAUAAAGGAUUGGUUCUAAACAGUGUAUUUUGAAGUUAGAGUAAAGGAAAUGAACUUGAACCUGCAAGGUGACAGCAUGCAGGACUUGUCAUAGCAUUACGCCUUUCUGAAAACCUAUAAAUAAGGUAAAAAGCUAAAAAAAUUCCAUUCUGUUUGAGACUGAAAGAAAGCAAAUAGGUAUUUCUGUAUUUCUGUAUUUUUUUUUCUACAGAUAUAGCAGCAUUUACAGGACCAAUUUCAGCGUGUAGAGGGUCACCAUUAAAUUAUUUAAAACAUUUGGAAACAGUUUAGAAAAAAAUACUUUAAAAAGGGCCUACUAUUUUUGUGGGUAUUCUAUUACAAAAAUUGAACUAUUUAAAACAAAUAUUUAUAAUGUGCUGCAUGACUGUAACAGAUCAUUACUACUUUUCAAAGCUAGAUGUUUAUUUAAGUAGUCCACUGUUGAUGUAUUUGAUAUAGGGAUAUAUUCCAUUCUUUAGAGUUUGCUGUCGUAAAUUCAAAAAGACUUUUUAUUCUCUUGCUUUUGUUCUCUGCAAUGCUUGUUACUGUGAAAGGAGAGAGAGAGAAUUUCAGAUGGAAGCAUUACUUAAAAUGUGAAUUACAUAAAUGAUGAUGCUUUCCAACCAUGGUUCCGUCUGCCACGGAUAUUGGUAGCAAAACUUCCUGUGGCUUUAGAAGCAUGUGUAAAUUGUUGGCGUAUGCAAUUACGUUGAUUCUGUAGUCUCUUAAAAAAUCAAGUCAUAUUUAUGUGUGCAAAAGAAAAAAAUGUUGAUGGAGACAAGUCACUUUCCUGUCAUGUUCUAAUACAGUUUAUGCACCUUUCAUGAAACCUGUUUUAUCUUCUUCCUGAGUCAUGACUUUGCCAAAAGUGUAAUACUAGUGUAUAAACUUCAGCCUUUUUGUUGUUUUGCUUCCUAACACUGUCUCUCUUUCUCCGUCCAUUCUUCAGUCUGUAGACAGAAUCUGUAAAGCUGACUAUGUAAAAAGGCCUGUUGAGAAACUGUCUACUUCUGCUUUCAUACAGCUAAUUCAGAUUUCAAAGAAUUUAAUUUGUCCCUCUUGACAAAUGACUAUGAAAAUCUAUGCCCAAAAUUAAGUGAGAGAAGUGUUACUGAGAUGUGGAGAGCAGAUUUAUUGUAUUAAUUGUAUAUUAGGCUAUACAAUCUGUUUCUGGAAAACAAAAUGAGAAAAAUGAAUGGUAGCAAGAGAAAAAUCAGUUUAGAAUUGCAGAAUCACAGAAUGGUUUGUAUUGGAAGGGACCUCAAAGGUCAUCUAUUCCCAACCCCAGCUGCUGUGGGGAGGGUUGCCGCCUGUUUGUUUAGGUUGCCCAGGCCUGAUCUGAUGUGGCCUUGAACACCACCAGGGAUGAGGCAUGCCUCUUUUGAUGCAGCCCAGGAUACAGUUGACCUUCUAGGCUGAAAGCACCCACUGCUGGCUCAUGUCUAGCUUUUCAUCCACCAGAACCCCCAGGUCCUUCUUCACAGAGCUGCUCUCAAUGAGUUGUUCUCCCAGAAUGUACUCAUAUCUGAGAUUUCCCUGAUCCAAGCGCAGCAACCUUGAACUUGGCCUUGUUGUGAACCUUAUUUGGCUUACAUGGGCCUACUUUUAGGGCUUGUCCAGGUUCCUUUGGAUGGUAUCACUUUCUUCUGUUGUAUCAGCUGCACUAUUCAGCUUGGUGUUGUCUGAAAUCUUGCUGAGAAUGUACUUGAUCUCUCUGUCACUGAUAAAGAUUUUAAGGAGAACCAGUCCCAAGAUGGACCCCUGGGAGGAGUCUCCACUUGUGCUCUAUUUCCACCUGGUUAUAGAGCUCUUGACCACAGACAUAGCUAUCUAGCCAAUUCUCGAUCCCCCAUUCUAGUUGCCUAUGUAUUUAAAAGUGACAAACAUUUCAGCAAUAUAUAUUAUAGUGGAAAAAGAAAACAAAACUACUGUGUAAGUUAGCAGCAGAAGAAUUUCCUGCUGCUUUUCACACAUUGACCUCCUUUCUCUCACUUUCCAAUAUUCACAUCUGUGAAAUGAACUUGCUUUCUUCCAAGUUCUUGUCCUUAGACAACUUGAAAAUUGGGGUCAAAUUCUAAACUCAAUAACUUUCACUGGACAGGAAGAAAGGAGAUUAGAAAACGAUCAGGACUAAAAGAGAAUUUUCUUUCUAUCUCUUAGUCUAAGGGAAGACUCAAAUUUUCUCUUUUUGGAGUUUAAAAUGUCAUAUCUCCUAUUUGUCAAGAGUACUGUAAAGAGAUUACAAGAGGGAGAUCUAGACUAGAGAGUAUGCAGUCCCCCCUCUUGUUGCUGUACUAGUUAGACUGUGGGUGUCCCAGCUCCCACGUGUGAGUGCUGUGGUCCAUUUCCUGGGGUAUAUUUAGUGUAUUAGAACAGCUCUAGCAGGAGAGAUUAUGGAGAGUUCCUUGCAUAUUACAUGUCUAAAUACUUGGACAUUUUUCUUAAAGAGAAAAUAAAUGUAUUCAAAUUACCUUGGGCACUAAAAACAAUUUAAUGUGGAUUGAAGGGCAGUGUGUGUGUGCGCGCGUGUGUGUGUACGUGCACAUGCACAUGCAUGCUGACCAGACUUUGCUGGGUUAGAAACAAGGUAAAGAGACUGAUGACUUCUUGCAAGCUGUGAGUCUGGCCUCGUCUUCUUUCGCUCUUGUUACUGUUCAAAACAAAAUACAUUGAGUUCUGGUGUAAGUGGCAUAUUACUUGUUGCAAUAAAAAGAGGAAAGACUGGAAGUGAGGAGGGUUUAUACUACUGGACACUUUCUUGUCUUCUUUC
rnacentral:lncRNA from 1 species